AAACAAAGUUGCUCAGUGAAUCAAAAUGUGAAGGGCAUAAUAAUUUUUCUAUCAUCCUAUUAUAUGAAUUUCGAGGUAUUGAAAAACCGAAAAAACAGUGUCCCAUCAGACAAAUCGAUAGGGACUUAACAGACGAGAAAAUGCAGAACUCGCGUAGAAGUAUGAACGCUGGAAUUGAGCAGGCGUGACCGAUGCUGAUUGAUUUAACAAGAUCCUUAAAACUUGGUUCUCUUGCUUCCCGUGGCUUCGCUUGAAGAUAAAAAUAUUACUCUGGAGGAGUUUACCUAGAUGAUUUCCGGAAAAGUGAUAGCUAGUUUUCGGUCAACACUUCCGGAUACCAUCUGCGCAUGAUAUUUAUGAAGUAGUAUUUCUAAAAAAAACAAUGAGAUAGAAAAUCAAUAAAAAAAAUG